AUCAGCUGACACUCAACUGAGCAAACCCAAUCAGCUUCACUUCAUCAGGAAUCUCUGACCCAUCGCAGCCAGAAGCCUGAAAAGGAAAAAAGAAACCUCAGUGCUGGUUGGUCACUGCUGCUUUUUUACCGACUUGUUCCUGUGAAGGCAGAUCCAGGCCUGGUGUCUCAUCUCUGCCAGCAGACAUCCUAAGAAUCGCGCUCUUCAGCAACUACUGGGUGCUCACUGCCCUGAGAAGCCCAGUCCUCAUGCCAUCAAGUACAGAACACAGAGGAGCGGGGUGUAUCAGCCGCGAGAACACCGCCGUGCCCACGCCUGCCGCCCUGGAGUUGUCAACGAGCGGCGUGAUUUCAACAGCUAGUACUCGGCUCACCACUCUACACUGCCUCUUCACUCUCAGUGCAUACAUCAGAACCGACCACACGUAAGUACAUUAUGUAAGUACAAGUGGGGAGAAAACUGAAUACCUGGGAAUGGGCAAUUAUCGACCGAAGAGCCCUCCACGCCUCUUCUUGGCCUAGUUCCUGCUAAAUUAUUGUGAAAACAAUUAGCUUCCUGUGGUAAAAAGCCCUUUCCAAUCAUCACACUGUAUCUGCUUCGCACGGCUCCAACAAACAGUACAUAAACGCAGGCCUUUGCCAACCCCAGCGUUUUCCUUUAAAAUAAGCAGCUAAUUAGAACCUACAACUUGAAUAUUUUACAGUAACAUUCAGUGUGAGUAGUUAUGCUUAUGUAAGAAAACCCACAGCCUACGGAGUAGGAAUAUUAGCUAACAUUUAAAUAAUUUACUUUGUGUCUCUCUAAUGAUGGCUCUCGUUUCACUUGACAGGUAAGAUAUUCAGUAAAGGACCGUGUUCACCGUUUGCACUCCUUCCCUUGUCACUAAGAAGCUGCGAAAUUCCCUGGUGGGUGUCUGUCACGUGGACACUGUGAUAUUUACCACCCCCACCGAUUUUCUCCUCCUACUUACCACUGUUUCUUCAUCUGUCUUCUUAAACUUUGCCUCUCUGCUUGUAGCUGUUACCAAUAACGUCAUUUCCUCAACCCCUUGCUGGGGGCAGAGACAAUUUGUGUGGACAACUGCCAAACAUCUGAGGUCAAACUUCCUGCUGCUGUCGACAAAAAGUCCAUCACCCAGUAAAUGAGUGCUCUGAAGAAGAUGCCUACCAGUACAGGUGGGUGUUCCUGCCUUGAUUUGUGCCAGCAUUAGUAGCUGUAACCACAAGGGCCUCUACACCAAUGUCAACACAAUGGAAAAGGCCAAGUAACAUCUCAGUAUUAUUAUAAAAAAGUUUUGACAUUCAGGAUCCCCUAAAAGGGUCUCAACACCAGAAUUUCAGGACCAACACUGUGAACCUUAAAGGAAAAUGUAUACAUGAUCAGAAACUUACCAUUACCCCACUGCUCUCACUCAAGUGUCUGUACUCUGAUGUCUGAAAAACCCCCACCUGCUCACCCCUCCUGCCAGCCCAGCAGGUGUGGCCCACACCCCGGGGAGGAGCUGAAGACGUCUAAGGAGUCUAAGGAGUCCCUCCACCGAAGCACCUGGAGACUCUGAAAGUAGCCCCUACCCACCUCCAUUCCAGAGGUGGUGACUGAAGUGGUCUGGAGUGUGGUCGGGGCUUUCCUGACCGCUCCAGCUGAUUUACAGGUUCAGUAGUUUGAGAACCUCUGUUCUACCCUAGUUGCUUCCCAAGGCAUGAACCUCCCUUUCCUUUAGAGCAGUGGCUCGUGAACUUCAGCAUCACCUGAAGAGCUUGUUAACAAAUUCCUGUGCCCUGUACCUCAAGAUUCUGAUUCCUUAGGCCAGGGCCCUAGAAUUCACAUUUUUAUCACGUUUCCAGGGGAAGCUGACACUGUCCAUCUGGGGACCACACCUGCAGAAGCACUGUUUCCAACUGAACAGGAGAGUGGCUACGUGGACCAUCUUGAACUGACAGUUUCAGGACAGAGAAAGCCAACACUCUCAGGUGCCCUGGCUUAACCUGUACUUUGGGAAAUGCCUCCUUUGUCACACAGCCUCCAACUAUAGCUAAGCUGAAAGACUCUAAAAAUAAGGCCCUUUAGUCAUUAAUUACCAAAAUGCUUAUAAAAUUUCCAUCCACAAUGCAUGCUAUUAUACUUCAGUAACUAAAAUCUAGAAUGCUCAAGUAAAUGUGUACUGACUGGAUAUUAAUUACAUGUUCAGUUGACCCUUGAACAACGCAGGGGUUGGGAGUGCCAAUCCUCCAAGCAGGCAAAAAUCCACAUAUAACAUAUCUGGCCCUUCUUAAAGGAGGUUCUUCUGUCCCCUGGGGUUUAACUAACCACGGAUUGCUGGUACUGUGGAAGGUAUUUAUGAAAAAAAUCCACGUCUAAUUGGAUCCACACAGUUCAAACCCAUGUCGUUCCAGGGUCAACUGUACGUACAAUUUGUAUUCUAUCUUUAAGGACAUAUUAAAUAUUUUCUAUUUUCACUAACGCAGUUUCAGAAAUUCCAUGUAGAAAGCUGCGAGACUCACCUACUUUAAAAAACUGCCAGGUAGCAAAUUAAAAAAUGCCUUAAUAAACACUGAUGAAGACUGGUCUCGAGGCUUACAACGAUAAAAACCAUACUGAUAUGUCAAACCCGAAGCACGUAAUACUUGAGCUGAAAUGCCGUCUGUGCCUGAACCACCUUGUUGAACGUGAUAAGAAAGGUUUCUGAUCUCCCUGCUCCCAGCCACACUGACAACAGAAACCAGACUCCACUUACCUGUCAAAUGAUCCUAAAGAUCUCACUGGGUGGAGAAAAAAGUAAAUGUACUUCUUUAAAUAGCCAAUACCCUUACCCCUCAGGCCACUGUUUCUCUUACACAAGCAGAUAUACAAGAUUAGAGACACCUUGUCAAACCUAAGCCAUGUACAUCUAACAGCAGCGGGAGCGGGAAGAGGAAAGAGAUCGGAGAAGGAGCCAUCUGCAAAUGGACUGAUUCCCAGCCUCGGCCCAACACAGGAAUCACCAGGGGGCACUUUCAAAAUUCCCCAAGCCCAGGGAAACAAUUACACUGGAACGCCAAGAACAAUUACAUUAGGCUAUUUUAGUAAUUUCCCAGUUGCCCCACCAUCCCUUGAGUGAGACCGCUGUGCCGCGAGGUGAAGAAUCACAGCACCAGUGGCUCUUUAGAGGAUUUUUAGGCCCCUGACAUUCUCCUUUAGGAAGCAAAGAAAGCGCUGUGAUUAAAAUGAUGAACAGCUGAGAGAGAAAAGGACUAUGCGCAGUUGCCGCUUAGGAGGAAAAAUGUUUCUGAAGUACCUUUAUCUUUUAUUCUUCAGUAAAAUAACCAAACUGAUGAAUGAAGGCAAAUGCAUUGGAAUUUCUGUGGUUUUACCAGGAUGCUAGUGUCCUCUAGAAGAUUAAGCCAACAGUUCGAAUGAGCUCUGUCAAGUGGAUCUCAAACUGGCCAGCAACUGACGACCACAAAGAAACCCUCUCAGGUUUUAACAAGGGCUGGAUGGAGAGUAAAGGGACAGAAAUAGGAGGUCACGCCUGAGUUUGGCUUUAUUUAACAUCUUUUAACUAUUUUUAGGGGAGAAGCCAUCCAUUUCCACUUACUGAGAAUGCCACACAUUAACCUCCUCAAGCUGUAAGGGGCAGGAAAAACUUGGAAAGCUGCUCCCGCACGUCUCCUGGGCCAGACAGGCCAGUAUUACUCACUGUGCUUAAAGGUCCAAAGGAGAUCUGGUCAGCCAGUGUAAACAUAUCCAGUCAUCCAAAAGGGCGGAGCCACUAAGCAGCAGAAAACUGUAGAACCACGGCUGCUGGGUCCUGCCUCUAAGACUGAAGAGCUGUGAAACAUAUGGGCUGUGAUGCCAGACCAGCGCUGAACCUGCGGCUUCUGUUCUGUAUGACCCCGGGCAGGUCAACCCCACAGGGCCUCCAAUUCCCAAGACAGAAAAUGGACCUAAUGACGUCACCAUCUUGUGGGAUGGUGAGGACUACAGUCACUGAGAUGAAGAACACCUGCACUGCCCUGCAAACCGUGGAUGCACAAGAAAAGCAGUGAUGCUUGUGACUUCUGCAGGCAAGGCCAAGGAACUUUAAUACACUGUAAAAAGAGGGCAUGGAGCAGCAGUCACAGUCCUAAUUAUCUUACAUGGAUGGAAACAAACAGGAAAGAUAACGACGGCUGAAGUUUUCCUCAAUGAGGUUUGCACUAUUCCGAUACAUUUUCAUGAUCAUCAAGUCCCUGCUAUGUGCAGAGGAUGCAAGAUAGAAAUCUCUGCCCCCCUCCCCACCCUAGAGCCUCUAGAUGGAUGAGAGGUACAAAUAAGAUUCUGCACAAUUUCAAUACAACAUAACCUUCGUCGGGGAGAAUACGGGAGGAGCACUGAGGCCAAGGACUGAUGUCAGAACAAGCUUCUUGGGGAAGUGAAAUUUAAGCAGAAAACUGGACACUGUGAUGAGCAGGCCUGGAAAAGCUGAGUGAGGAUAUUUUAGUAAGAGGAAAAGGUUCACAGGAAGGGCUGGCAGAUGAAAAUAGGAGAGAACUAGAGAAAGAGGGAGGCAAUAAGUUGUGGGGGGUAAAGGAAAGGGAAGCAGGACUUAAAGGGAGGUCUGAGCAGGGAGGGCUUCCUUAGCCACGCUUAGGGGUUGCAUUUCAGAAGAGGACAGUGGAGAGCCAGUCGAGUAUUUGGAGCAUUCUGGAAUUAAGGAAGAAUUACCCCAGCUCUAGCCUCAAUGUGGUCAACAGAGGUGGAGGCUGGCAAGUUACAGGCGGGAAGAUGAGUUUCAGAAGAUGAGCGGAUCCUGGUAAUGCGCUGGGAAUGGGGGUGAAGAGGAGCACAGACUCAAGAGGGGGAAUCCAAGGGGUUCUUACUGCUUAUCUAGGGACCGUGCGGGGGCUGUUCUCACAAAACCGUCAGUAGUUUGAAGGGCCAGAGUUGCUACUCCUGUUUAGUAGGUUAAGCAGGUUUAGGGACAAUGGGAAUGGGCACCAUGGAAGUUUCAGUCUCUCAGUUUACAGGUUCAAAAUCAGGAAAAUGUUCUGGAGGCAAUAUGUUGUAGCUUUUUAACGGUAUAAAAAAGGAAUAAAGGAACAUUAACAUUGGCUUACAAUACAGCCAAGGGGUGCCAUUUUCUCAUCAGUACCUUCUCACAGGAGUGAAACACGUUCACAGAGAUGCGGGUGAAUUUAGAAACAUGACAGAGGCAACAGAUGCGUCCCAAGCUAGAAGAUGAAUUUUUCAAUUUGUUAAUUUAUCUGUGUCUAAAAAUGUUCUUUUAUCUAAAUGAACUUCUUCACCUAAAUUCUUUCUCUGAAAAUCUGUUUUUCUUUUCUCACCCAGCCUCGCCCUCCGAAAAUAGAUGAGAAGCAAGGCCCAGAAAGUUAAUUAGCACCAGGCUCACAUUUACUGUUACUCAUCAUUUAGCGUUUUUUGGCCACACAAGUUUUCCAUUAAAUUUUUUACAAGAAAUUAAACAGACAGGUCAUCAGUAUAUGUUGUGCACAGCAAAGCACUGGCCAUCUCGAUCCUAAAUUGCCUGCAGCGUUCUGACUGGUCCUUGAUGAGAUAAAAUUUUAAGAUGAGUCACUUAAUGUGCUGUUUGAUAAAACUUUCAGGAAAAUAGCCGCUUUUGGACUACUUGGACUUCUCUCCAUUUCUGGCCAUGAUCUCCAUCUCUUGGUUUCACAAGGAUCCCAGAAUGCUCCGUAUCUGUAUCUCUGUGGCCACCCUAGUUCUUUAAAUUUAAAACCUAAUAGUGCAGAAAAACUGCUGAAAUAUCUCCUCUCUCUGAGAAUCUGUUCCUGUGGUUUGAAUUGUGGAGUUAAAAUGUUAUGUCUUUGUUCACUAGCCUUCAGUGAGCUGUUCUACAAUUGCUCCCAAUUAAUUAAAACAUUUCUACCACAAUCGGCUUCAAUUUUUUAAAGUUAGAAACCCUGACUUUCACGUCAGGAAAGCUUUAGUGUUGUUUGGAAGGAAUUCAGUUUAAUUUUGUCUUUCAGGUCAAGUUACCAUACAAACCGGGGGCAAAACGGUACAGGCUUUAAAACUUCUCAAAUGGCCACUCUUAGUCAAAGGUAUGACGGUAAAAGAACAAGCUAUGCUCACGGAAGAGGAGAUUUCCGAUUGUGAUCAGAAAAUGCUCCCAAAUGUUGACCAGGCAAAUGACGAAUGCAAAAUGGGUUUCCAAAGAAAACAACACUGGCAGAAUUACGGAGUGGGUUAUCAUAUUACAUUACUACUCCCUGCUGGCGCAGCAUGGCAAAAUAUUUACCUUCAUUCCAUAGCUUUCCACUUACCAGCUUAAAUGUCAAUGUUUUUAAAGCUUUGGGAUCAUCUACAAUCUUCUGUAAAUUAGCAGCCACUGUAAAAUAUAAACAUGGAGAAAAAGUGUCCAAAUUAUUUCCAAUAACACUGAAUCUUCACAUAGAUGAUUCAGAAAAGUUGACUAAUGAUGCAGUAACUUGCAAAAUCAUUUCUUUCAGACAUUACAAAGUCCAUAUAAAUGACCAAAUUACUCUCAUAAAGACAGUUUCUACCACAACUUACAUCUUCAGCACAUCUGAAUCGAUCACUCCACGUUGACCCCGUCUUUCAGACAAUAAAAUGAGAAAUGACUUGCUAAUGGAAAGUAGAAAGGAGAGCAGCCCUCAGUGUUUCUUCCCACCAUGUGGUUUUUCUCAACACAAUACAUUAACAGAUGUACAAGCCAGGAGAGGGCAGUACAAACAAAGAGGAGAGGUAUUGCAAAGAACCGUUUCUCUAGAAAUAACAGGUCAGCACAUUUGACCUCCUGUCCCUAUAAAUUUGCUCAAUUCUGUGCGCCAGUUUUUAUCAAAGCAACAAGAUACAGUGGGUAACCUCUACAACUCAGGGACAUGGUUUAGUGCUUUCAGAGCACAAUGAUCCGUCAAAGCCGCGAAGGACCACCUGGAGCGACACCCGAGCCGGCUGAACAGGGUCAAGUGCUAGAGGCUGUCUGGGGCUCAAUAGUGAAGGUUUGUUUUUGUGUUAGCCAGAUCCAUCAGAGACCCGUCCUGCUCUCUGCACUGCCAUGACCAGUUUGAUGUUCUCCCAGAGAAGUCAGCUUUUCCUGCUUUGGGUAUUGUUUACGAAUAGAAUUAUCAAGAGGUGACGAUGAUGGAAAUUUAACAUCAUGCUCUUUCCACAUCUAAACGUAAAGUAUAAAGCACUGAAAAUCAAGUAGGUGUUACUGGUCAGGGAAGGAGAAGUUACUAUUGAAGAAAUAAAGGGAGAGAGUCCCUUUUAUCAUUUUUCUUUUUCAUGGGGAAGAUCACCUGCUACUUCAGUAAGCAGACAUCUGAAAAGUUUUCUGAAUAUUCUGAUAUAAAAAUUUUGGGGAAAUAGUAAACAUACAAAUAUUUUGAGAAAAGUGUUUUAAGGUGCAAAUUUGUAAGAAGAAAGAAAUCUGUGCAAAUUUUAUUCUUCUCUAAGGUUGACUGAAAACCACCUAGGUACAUGGAUUUUCGGCAGAUUAGUGUAUUGCCUUUAAUCCAUCUGCUGCAGAGGAGAAAAAAUGAAGAUUACAUACUCAGUAUGGCCUAUUUGUCUUCAUAAACCAUAAUUACAAGCACCAUUUUAUCUUCAUCUGUUGCCCUCUUAAUACUUCCAUUCUGAGUAAUUGCAAAGUUUCAUUUCUGGUAAGACUACUCUCCCCUCAUCCUCUUUUCCUCCUCCUUUUUUUUGCCCACACAAGCAAACACACACACACGCACACCCCAGGUAUAUUCCCCAGGCCACUAACCUCAGUAUUGUUAUCAUCACCAAGCAUCUUCUGGCCUCCUCAACAGUUUCCUGAACUUAUCUCAGAUACUAAACUCAUCAUGUAAUCCAUGAAAGAAACAAUGGCUCAUGGAGUGAAAAGCUCUGCUGGGAAAUUUUGUCCCCAAAAGCCAGGAUUUAUUCUGUCGGGGCAUUCUGACUAUAUGCAAAUUGCAGCAACUGAACACAGUCACCGUUUUCUUAAAGCACAAAACUGUUCUAAUAGUUCCUCUGAUUUGGGCUAAUUUCAUGAGCGACCAUAAAGUCUUCAUAUGAAUUUCAGGACUUUCAUUAGAGUCUCUCAGUUAAUGUGGAUGAUUUACUGCCUCGUUCUGGGUCAUCUAUUUCCAGCCUGCUCUCUAAUGUUCCGCCAAAAGCAGAGCUCUGUCCUACACUAAUUCACAACCCUGUCUCCGGUGGACACGCGUAUGUGCUGGGGCCCAUCUCCAGGGAACACGGUGGAGCAAGUUGUAGACUGGAGGGCGAGACUGAGCUGCGAGCAUCUUGAACAAUCAUCCCAGAACCCGCAGUCCCCAACUGUGAAUCCUACACCUCAGGGACAUUAGAAAUUAAAUUCUGUCUUCAGCUCAAAGCAAAAAUAGCAAAACUGGCCACUUACCUGAUUACUUAUCCCAGCUGCUAGGCUUACUUUCAAUUUAGUUGAUUCUGAUUUGUUGUAAAGGGCUAUAAAACAACCUUCAUUUAACUGACAUCACAUAAAAUUCAGGCUGAUGCUAAUUUCUUUUCCAGUGGCAAUGCUCAUUAAAAAGAUGGGUGCCACUGCUUCCUCCCUUCUCCUAACUGUGCACCUGGGUUUCAAAAAUAAAAGUGCUCCUUACCUGGAACGUGAGUGGAGAAGGAAGGGCUGGGUAGGGCUGGUGGUUACUUGAGAGUGUCUCAGGUGUGUGCUGAUAACACUGAACUUCCUGUCUUAAGCUACUCUGGUUUCCAAAAAAUACGGAGCUUCUGAACCCUGCUUACUCAGUGGCCAUCAACUCAUUUCUGACGGCCCUUGGCUUUCCCAGAUAAAACUCUUUCCUCUAGUUUCUGAUGUGGACCCUGUGUCACCUUCCCUGGACUCGUCCCUCCCCUCCUCCCCGGCCCACUGUCUUUGGUCUCGGUGUUUUCUGUCUCGUGGCCACUUAAGGCAGAGAUAACACUCACUCAGGCCCCAGGACCUGGGGCCUCCUGAUGCCUUUGCGUGAGCAAGCUAAUCUUUGCUAUUUCUGUGUCCCCGUGCCACGCUUCAGGCUUGAAUCCCUGGCAGGGCUGGAAGUUUGUUUGCUCUUUUGGAGGAUAACAUCUGGCCUAAGGUACCAUCAGUACUGUGCUCUACGAAGCUGGAAUGAUAGUAACGGCCAGGUGGGAAAGGAUGCUAAUGCUCAUUCCCUCCCUGAAUCUAAACAGAGAAGGGGGGCGGGGUGAGCUGUCAGACGCCAGGCAGCGGAGCCGACAUUUCUUUGGCAAACUAACUCAGGCAUUCUCCAGACACUCUUUUCCUCUAUAAACUUGUACUACUCAUCUGCACACUUUGACAUUUACAAAAAGUAACAGUUAGAGCAUGACUAUUUACAGUCUGUGUUUGUACUCGGAGGGAUUAGUCAAGAGAAACAAGUUUCUCCCCACGGGUCAGUGUAUUUCACAAGAAGCCCAUAUAGUCCUGAUGUUCUAAUGGAGGUGAGUUACUUAAUUCCAGCUAUUCCCAGACAAAAGCUGUGGGGAAAAGCACACCAACGGACACCAAGUCCAACGCAUUCCCCUAAAAAGAAAUUCUGAGCUAAGACCGAAGCGUAGACGUGGGUUAACUGAUGAUAACAUCACAGUAUUUCUUCAGAGAUGCAUCUUGUACACCGCAUGGUUGCAGAAAGGCAGUGUGAGAUCGCAAGGAAAGAAAGAGACGUGGGUUUCUCACAGAUACUGCUGUAGCACUCACACAGAGUUACGGCUGAUGCACACCUCGGUUUGGGAUAAGAUACAAGAGAUCUGCCCUAUUUUCCCUAAAUAUCCGGGCUCUUAUCUUCAUGAGAUGCGGUGUAGCGAAGGGUGCAAGAGUCCGAAUUCUCCAGCCGGAGAGCCUCGGCUUGAGUCCUGCCUAGAGCGGUGCAGCCCCAUGGACCUGGGCAUGGCUCCUCGGCCUCUGUGUGCUGUGAAAGGUGAAUGCUGACGGUGCCUACCUACAGGGCUGUUUGGAGGGCUGAGCUAGAGUGCUCAGAGUCCUGCUUGCUGUAUAGAGCAAGUGCAUAAUAAAUACCAGCUUAACUACCUCCACCGUGGACCACUGCAGAGCUUAGCUGGUUUCCCUGCCUUCAGUCUUAACUGCUCAUGAGCCCUGUUUCUCACACUCACCAGGUACCUGGAGAAUUUAAGUCAUAAAAUGGAACAUGUUGCUUUCUUAACAAACCUUCCCAUCAAUUUCAGGAUAAAGUCUAAAUUUUGUGGGUUUUCUGUCUUUGUUUUUAAAGUCAGUUUAUAAUGCCGUGUCAAUUUCUGGUGUACAGCAUAAUGUUGUACACAUACAUAUAUUCAUUUUCAUAUUCUUUUUUCCUUAUAGGUUACUACCAGAUAUUGAAUACAGUUCCCUGUGUUCUACAGAAGAAACUUGUUUAUCUAUUUUAUAUAUAGUAGUUAGUAUCUGCAAAUCUCUAACUCCCAAUUUAUCUCUUCCCACCCUCUUCCCCCCAGUAACCGUAAGUUUGUUUUCUAUGUCUGUGAGGCUGUUUCUGUUCUGUAAAUAAGUUCAUUUGUCUUUUUUUUUUUUUUUUAGAUUCCACAUAUGAGUGAUAUCAUAUGGUAUUUUUCUUUGUCUGACUUACUUCACUUAGAAUGAUGAUCUCCAGGUCCAUCCGUGGUGCUGCAAAUAUUAUCCUUUUUUAUGGCCGAGUGGUAUUUCAUUGUAUAAAUAUACCACGACUUCUUUACCCAGCCAUCUGUCGAUGAAGCCCACGUUUUUAAUGUGGUCCAUCAGACCCUCCACGAUCCAUCCCCAGCUACCUCUCUCUCUAGUUUAUUUUUCAUCAUUUCCAACCCCAGUUUCCUCAGAAAAGCUCUGUAACCCCCAUUCUCCUCUCCCUCUCUAUCCCUACUCUCACCAUUGUGUGCAAAAAUUCUGUUACAGAGCUGAUGUCCCCACUUAAUUAAGAUUCUGUCUUUGAUAACCCAGACACAAUCUUAAUUCAUCUCUAUAAAAGGUGUAUCUUGGAAAUAUAUCCACGUGGAUACAUACACAGAAACUGACAGCAGCUCACCACCUCCACUGCUGCUGCACCAGUCCAGCUGCCAUCACCUCAUCUAGAGUGUACAGUAACCUGCUGUGUCGCUGCUUCCAUCCUGGUCCCUCAGGACUAGCCUCCACUCAGCAGUCAGAGAUGAGAGACCAGGUCACUCCCUAAGUAAAGCGGCCGGACUAGCACAGGUGGUACCCCAGACAAAGGGAACCUACAAAAGGCAGCAGAGGACGGACGUGAUGAGCCUCCAGUGUGAUCUCAGGACCGGGUGCUGCAGCGGGGACUAAAAGUCAUACCACUGACCUUCCCUCCUGCACGUCUCCCCCAGGAAAAGAGAUGAACCCCUCCUGAGGACUGAUUCCCAGGCAGACCCACACAGUGCCAGGGGUGGACAGCAGUGAACACUGUAUUGCGCUGCCAAGAUCUUGUCUUAGGGAUUGAGGCAACCAUCCUCCCACCUGCCGGGGUUACUAGUAGCCGAUGACUCUCAGCUUCAUCCCUGUCUGGGAAUUCCCCUUCGCCAAAGAGCUCCAUCUCACCCAGAGUCGGCCCUCUCCCCAAAGGCAGCCCAGCCUGCACCCCUCGACUGGCCACAAGAGCAGAAAGGCCCUGGCGCCGCAGGGCAGGACAACCCUAAGGGUCAUCUCAGAUCCAAAGCUCGCUGUGGGAUUAGCUGAGGUCUUUGCCAUGGUUAAAUCGUAGUUUAAUUCCUCCAUCUCCAAAAUCCUUCUUCCUUUACUCCCUCACUUGUGUCAGUCAUGAAAUCACUCCUCAAAAACCUAAGUGCCAGCACAUCUAGGCCUCUGAGUCUUUUCCCCGAGAAAUCUUAAGACUCCAUCCAUGGAUGGACAGGGUACAGUCACCUUAGAAAGUGUUUCCAUGAUUAAAAUUUUAAGAUGGUACAAAUGAUAAAUAAAAUACACGAGGAAAGGGGGGAAAUCAGUGUACUGUGUAACAUUUUUGUUUGCAUUUUGCUCAGACUUAGGAUCGUGGAUGAUGAGAAAAAGAGGUAGACAGAAGAGAUUUUAGGAAUGUUACAGGUACUAUAAGCAAGCAACCUCUGAGGUCAAAACUUUAAACAAAGUGGAGUAUUAGUAUUAUUUACAUAUAGCAGGAAAGUCUCACAGGAAGGAAAAGACACAGAAAUACACCUGCCAUUUUUGUUUAGUUUUGGGUAAAUUCCAGUUUAUUACUAUUAUCUGGGCAUGAUGGGAAAGCCUGAAACAGUGAUGGAAUAGCUAAAGUGGCUGGUAUUGAGUCUGUCCUCUGAAAUAUAAUCAUAAAAUUGCUAUUUUUAUCCUGAAUUUCCUUUACUGUGCUUAAGGCAGAGUUUUAUGAACUGGACCACAGUGCAGUAACAGAAGUGUCCAAUAAUCAUUAUGUUAUUAUUGUUCAUUUUGAAAUCAAUGAAAUGGUAUAAUCAAUGAAACUGCAGCCUAACUUAGCUGGUGGAGGUGAAACACCAGUGCAUUUAUAGUUUACUGUGUGAAGAAUGGCUACACUUUAAAGUCAGGCUUGCCAAGAAUAUCCAACAUUCCUCUGAGAUGAAGGUAAGAAUUAAUUUAUUUGCUUUGGAAAAUAAAAGAGGAUCACUGCUUAGGAGACGCAGUUGUUGAAAAGUACCUUGGUUCUUCAAAAAAUAGGAAAAAUCCCAUAGGUGCCUUAACCUGGGGGUUUUAAUCUUGAACCCUCUAAAUUAUAGGCAAAAUUUUUGUUUGCACAUUUCUGGGGAAAGUGUUGUAGCAUUUACCAGAUUCUUAGGGGGUCAUGUCCUUUAUAAUCUUAACAAUCACUAUCCCAUAGGCUUACUACCCUCGUCUAGUACAGUCAUGUAAGGAGCUUAGAGGUAGGGCCUUUUAUGUAUUUUAAUAACUGCCUUACUGAAGUAUAAUUGAUGUACAUUAAACUGCAUGUAUUUAAAGUGUACAAUUUGGUAAGUUUUGACACAGGGAUAUGCCACUAAAACCAUGACCACAAGAUAAUGAACAUAUCCAUCACAUCCCCAAAUGUCCUCAGACCCCCUGUAAUUUCCCCCACCUUUCCUUCUUUUUAUUCUCUCCAGGAAGCCACUGAUCUGUUGCUGUAGAUUAGAUUAGCAUUUUCUAAAAUUUCAUUCAAGUGCAGUCAUAGAAGAUGUACUCAUUUUGUCUGGCUUUUCUCAUACAUUAGAAUUACUUUGAAAUCCAUCCACAUUGGAGCUGUAUCAAAAAAUCUUUCCUUUUAGAAAAGGGAACCCUCCUACACUGUUGGUGGGAAUGUAGUUUGGUGCAGCCAUUAUGGAAAACAGUAUGGAGAUUCCUCAAAAGACUUACCAUAUGAUCCAGCAAUCCCACUCCUGGGCAUAUAUCCUGAAGGAACUCUGAUUCAAAAAGAUACAUGCACCCCAAUGUUCACAGCAGCACUAUUUACAAUAGUCAAGACAUGGAAACAACCUAAAUGUCCACUGACAGAUGACUGGAUAAAGAAGUUGUGGUAUAUUUAUACAAUGGACUACUACUCAACCAUUAAAAAAGAAUAAAAUAAUGCCAUUUGCAGCAACAUGGAUGGAUCUGGAGAUCAUCAUUCUAAGUAAGACAGAACGAAAAAAGUACCAUAUAUCACUCAUAUGUGGAAUCUUAAAAAAAAAAAAAAAAGGAAGAAGAAAGAAAAAAGACGACACUAAUGAAUUCAUCUACAAAACAGAAACAGACUAGCAGACAUAGUGAACAAUUUUAUGGUUAUUAGGGGAAAGAGGGUGGGAAGGGGCAAAUUUGGGAAUUUGAGAUUUGCAAAGGUUAGCCGCUAUAUAUGAAAAUAGAUUAAAAAACAAAUUUCUUCUGCAUAGCACAGAGUUAUUCAAUGUCUUGUAAUAAACUUUAAUGAAAAAGAAUACAAAAACAAUAUAUGAAUAUUUAUGCAUGACUGGGACAUUAUGCCGUUCACCAGAAAUCGACACAUUGUAACUGACUAUACGCCAAUUAAAAAAAUUUAAAAAUAAAACAAAAAUUCUUUCCUUUUCAUUGCUAA